UUUAUCAUUUAUAAGAGUGAGGUAUCACAAUACAGAGAAGAUUACUAACAUGGCUCCUGAGCAAGGAUGACACGCACAAAUUGAGAAAUUGUAUAAUAGCCU